CAAGAGGAUAAAGACCUGUCUGUUAAGGAUGAUAGAAAAGAAAUAUGGCCAGGUUGCUGCUCUUAGUUUUCAAAAUAACACCUGUUUUCUUUUGCUUACCCCAUUAAUUCUUCUAAUGGAACUUAUUCUUUGUUUUUCAUGUUAAAAUUGCCUGUGAAGGAUGCUUCAUCUCCUACAUGAGCACAAUUUAGAGAAAGUCAGCAGGAUUUUAAAUAAUUGUCAAAAUUUCAGAACUGAGUAAAAGAAAAUGGAUCACACAAUUCAGAAGAUCACUAAGCUAAAGUAACCUAAUCAGAAUAAGUAGGCAUAAACCACUCCUUACCUCCAAGUCUCUUCAAGUUGAAGAAUAAGUAUGAGGUAUAGAGAAAGGAGAGGUGAGCUCUGUUAACCUAGGCCAGCCCAAGGAUGAGGCAAUGGUCAGGCAAGACUCAGAGGCUGUGUCAACAUCAAAGAUACAAUGCCCUGUACAUAUGUCUGGUCUAAGAGCACAUGACUUUAGCCGAGGUCUGUCUGUGUUGAAGUCUGUGGCCCAUUUUGCCACUGAGAGCCAUGUGGUUGCCUGGGGUCAGGACAGCCACCUAAGUCCAUGUUGGUGGCUGAGAGACAUGCUGAAGCUGGGGCCAUGUAGAUCUUCGUGGCCUAUGCUGCUGCUCAAUCCCAUGAUGACUUCUGGGCCAGAGCUGCAGCUAAGGGCUAUGUCUAGGUUUGCAGUCAGGGUACCCAAGGUUGGUGCCCAAGGUUCCUGUUACCAUUGAAGGCCAUGUGGAUGCCAGAGAAUCGGGAACCAUGUUAGCAUUCAAGAGCCAUCCUGCUUCUGGGGCCAUGCUGAUCUGUAUGGCCUACACUGCCACCUGGGACAAUGGUGACAUCCAGAUUCAGCUGCUACUGAAGGACAAGUCUGGGUCAUGUGGUCCCACUACAGCCAGUGUCUAUGUAGCCAACAAAGGAUACAUGGAAGGCCAGGGUCAGAGCUGCAACCUGUGGCCUUGUUGGUUUCCAGAGGCCAUGAUUACCACCAGAGCCAACCUCAUCUGAGUGGCCUAUGCUUCCACCUAGAGCCAGGGUGUUGCCUGGGUCCAAGCUGCUGCCCAAUGCCAUGUCUAGGUACUUGGUCCUGCUGCAUUUAGGGGCCUGUUUUGAUGUCUCUGGACUGUGCUGCCUCAGGGGACCAUGGGAACCAGAGGGCCAUGGUGAGCUGGCCCUGUACUUCUGGCCCUGGGAUAGUUGACCCUGCCCCUCACUGGAUGCUACAGCAAGAGAGCUGGCACCAACUGUCAUGGGAGUGCUUCUCCCCUGACUCUCAAACUAGGGAGAAAUGGCCCCACACCUCACCACAGGUGAAGGAGAGCUGGCCAUGAUGGCAUGGGCAUAGGAGUGUUGGGUCCACCCCUGUGACCCUAGUGGCCUGGACUAACCAGUUCAACUCCAGGCCCACAGUGGAGCCUGGAGUUGGCACACCUUAACAUUUACCCCAUCUGGGACCUACUGGAGCUUGUGAAGGGACUGGUCCUGUGGAAUGAUAUCCGAAGGCUCAUCAUGACUCUGGAGGGGAGUUUCCAUGAGGAUCCAGUGAUGAUGGUGUACCAGAAACCAGAGGACUUGAACCAAACCAAUGAACAUUUGCAAAUAAAGCUGAUUAAACAAAAGGACAUACUAUGUGACAUACUGAAGCUCCCAAUGCCACCAGGACAAAUGAAGAAGUGUUCGAAAGACAGGGAAAAUGGAGGAACAAAGAGGGUUUUUGUUUGUUUGUUUUUGUUUUUGUUCUUCCCCUUUUAGUUUUUGUCUGUUUGCUUGUUUUAGUUUCAUUUGAUUUUUUAAAAAAAUUUUAUUGGGGGACACUGCAGGGGGAAGGGGAGAAUAUAGAGGAACUGGGAGGUAAUCAGAAUCGGGAUGCAUGAUGUGAAAAUCCCAAAGAUUCAAUACAGAAAUUAUAUUUAGUUACAAAAGUUAAACAAAGAGAAAAAAAA
ensembl:lncRNA